rnacentral:rRNA from 1 species
UCCCCUAGUAACGGCGAGUGAAGCGGGAAGAGCUCAAAUUUAAAAUCUGGCUUGCUUGCAAGUCCGAGUUGUAGUCUGAAGAAGCGUUUUCCAUGAAAGCUGAGGCACAAGUCCUUUGGAACAGGGCAUCAUAGAGGGUGAGAAUCCCGUCCAUGGUCUCAUGCAUUUCAUUUUGUGAUACGUUUUCUAAGAGUCAGGUUGUUUGGGAAUGCAGCCUAAAAUGGGUGGUAAAUUUCAUCUAAAGCUAAAUAUUGGCGAGAGACCGAUAGCGAACAAGUACCGUGAGGGAAAGAUGAAAAGAACUUUGAAAAGAGAGUUAAAAAGUACGUGAAAUUGUUGAAAGGGAACCGUUUGAAGCCAGUCUUGCUUACUUGUGAUCAAUCUUAGCUUCGGCUUGGAUGCACUCUCAAGUUAUGCAGGUCAACGUCAGUUUGAGAGGUGGGAAAAAAGUUUGAGGAAUGUGGCCUUCGGGUGUUAUAGCCUCUUACUAAAUACCAUCUCCUGGACUGAGGCUCGCAGCAAAAAUGUGGGCUGGUUUGCUCCUGAGGUGAAUCAUUAUUAAGACAGCUUGCUGACUUAGUUUUGUGGAUCUUCACGGUAGGCUAGCUUCUAAUUUGCUUAGGUCGUUGACAUAAUGGCUUUAAAUGAC